CCGCACCUCGGACGCUGCUUCCCGGCCUGCUGGGCCGCACCUCCGGCGCUCCUUCCCGGCCCCCGACUGUUCUGGCCUGCGGGGUGGACUCCCGCGGCCGGCAUUUGCCUUGAGCACGAUGCUCCAACGAUUCCGGCCGGCCGUUGGCGAAUUCCGGUCGGCCGGGGGCCGCAAAUUUUGGCCCAGGCUUCGGGCCUACUAGGCCGCAUUCCGGCGCUCCACCCAGGCCCCUGACUCUCCGGUCCGCGGGGUGGGCUCCCGCGGCUGGUAUGUACAAGCAGUCCACUACGGUAGGAGGGGCUUAACAUUUCCUGUGCAGCCCCGGUCAGCCGGAUGCCGCAAAAAAUUUAGGCCCCGGCUUCACGGCCUACUAGGCCGCAAAGUUCCGGCCUCUGUUGGAGGGGGCGGGAACUUCUCCAGGCGCGAAUUCUUCCCGCCUGAAGGUUUCCCCGCCCCCAGGGGAUCGCGGCGCCGCCUCCUCCCCCCUCCCCAGGUCGGAUCCCUGUUAACCCUUUGGGUACCGGCGGCUCCCGAUGGGCCUGUAUGGCCGUCCCCCCCUG